rnacentral:rRNA from 1 species
GGGGAAUAUUGGACAAUGGGCGAAAGCCUGAUCCAGCCAUGCCGCGUGAGUGAUGAAGGCCCUUGGGUUGUAAAGCUCUUUUGUGCGGGAAGAUAAUGACGGUACCGCAAGAAUAAGCACCGGCUAACUUCGUGCCAGCAGCCGCGGUAAUACGAAGGGGGCUAGCGUUGCUCGGAAUCACUGGGCGUAAAGGGUGCGUAGGCGGGUUUCUAAGUCAGAGGUGAAAGCCUGGAGCUCAACUCCAGAACUGCCUUUGAUACUGGAAGUCUUGAGUUCGGGAGAGGUGAGUAGAAGUGCGAGUGUAGAGGUGAAAUUCGUAGAUAUUCGCAAGAACACCAGUGGCGAAGGCGGCUCACUGGCCCGAUACUGACGCUGAGGCACGAAAGCGUAGGGAGCAAACA